rnacentral:rRNA from 1 species
ACAGGGUCUCGUGGGCUCGGUGAUGUGUUUAAGAGACAGCCGCCGGGUAGCCGCGUCCGGCCGGGAUAAGCGCUGAAGGCAUCUAAGCGCGAAGCCCUCCGCAAGAUGAGAACUCCUUGAUAUGAGGGCCGUCAGAGACGAUGACGUUGAUAGGGCGCAGGUGUAAAGGCGGCGACGCCAAAGCCGAGCGCUACUAAUUGCCCGAAGCUUUCCCCGU